GACGAACGCUGGCGGCGUGCCUAAUACAUGCAAGUAGAACGCUGAAGGUGGAGCUUGCUUCUCUGGAUGAGUUGCGAACGGGUGAGUAACGCGUAGGUAACCUGUCUGGUAGCGGGGGAUAACUAUUGGAAACGAUAGCUAAUACCGCAUAAGAGUAGAUGUUGCAUGACAUUUUCUUAAAAUGUGCAAUUGCAUCACUACCAGCUGGACCUGCGUUGUAUUAGCUAGUUGGUGAGGUAACGGCUCACCAAGGCAACGAUACAUAGCCGACCUGAGAGGGUGAUCGGCCACACUGGGACUGAGACACGGCCCAGACUCCUACGGGAGGCAGCAGUAGGGAAUCUUCGGCAAUGGCCGGAAGUCUGACCGAGCAACGCCGCGUGAGUGAAGAAGGUUGUCGGAUCGUAAAGCUCUGUUGUAAGAGAAGAACGAGUGUGAGAGUGGAAAGUUCACACUGUGACGGUAUCUUACCAGAAAGGGACGGCUAACUACGUG
rnacentral:rRNA from 1 species